UGCAAGUCGAACGAGAAAGUGGGGCUUGCUCCACGAGUAAAGUGGCAAACGGGUGAGUAACACGUGAACAACCUGCCCUCGAGUGGGGAAUAACACCGCGAAAGCGGUGCUAAUACCGCAUAAUAUCCCGGGGUCGCAUGGUCCUGGGAUCAAAGGCGCAAGUCGCUUGAGGAGGGGUUCACGGCUGAUUAGCUUGUUGGUGAGGUAACGGCUCACCAAGGCGACGAUCAGUAGCCGGCCUGAGAGGGCGAACGGCCACACUGGAACUGAGACACGGUCCAGACUCCUACGGGAGGCAGCAGUGGGGAAUUUUGCGCAAUGGGCGGAAGCCUGACGCAGCAACGCCGCGUGGAGGAUGAAGGCCUUCGGGUCGUAAACUCCUGUCAGUGGGGACGAAUGCCUCGCAAGAGGUUUGACUGUACCCGUUGAGGAAGCCACGGCUAACUCCGUGCCAGCAGCCGCGGUAAUACGGAGGUGGCAAGCGUUGUUCGGAAUUACUGGGCGUAAAGGGCGCGUAGGCGGCUAGGCAAGUCAGGUGUGAAAGCCCCGGGCUUAACUCGGGAAUUGCACCUGAAACUGCCUUGCUUGAGUCCUGGAGGGGGUAGCGGAAUUCCCAGUGUAGCGGUGAAAUGCGUAGAUAUUGGGAGGAACACCUGCGGCGAAGGCGGCUACCUGGACAGUGACUGACGCUGAGGCGCGAAAGCUAGGGUAGCGAACGGGAUUAGAUACCCCGGUAGUCCUAGCCGUAAACGAUGGGCACUUGGUGUUGGGGGUAUUGAGUCCCUCAGUGCCGGAGUUAACGCAUUAAGUGCCCCGCCUGGGGAGUACGGUCGCAAGACUGAAACUCAAAGGGAAUUGACGGGGGCCCGCACAAACGGUGGAGCAUGUGGUUCAAUUCGACGCAACGCGAAGAACCUUACCGAGGCUCGAACGGCAACUGCUACUCAUGGAAACAUGGGGUUCUCU
rnacentral:rRNA from 1 species